AGAGGGUGCGAGCGUUAAUCGGAAUUACUGGGCGUAAAGGGUGCGUAGGUGGUUACGUAAGUAACAUGUGAAAGUCCUGAGCUUAACUUGGGGAUUGCAUGUUAGACUGUGUAGCUAGAGUGUUGUAGAGGAUAGCGGAAUUUCCGGUGUAGCGGUGAAAUGCGUAGAUAUCGGAAGGAACAUCAGUGGCGAAGGCGGCUAUCUGGACAACAACUGACACUGAGGCACGAAAGCGUGGGGAGCAAACAGGAUUAGAUACCCUGGUAGUCCACGCCGUAAACGAUGAGAACUGGUUGUUGGAUGCGAGAGCAUUUAGUAACGAAGMAAACGCGUUAAGUUCUCCGCCUGGGGAGUACGGCCSCAA
rnacentral:rRNA from 1 species